rnacentral:misc_RNA from 1 species
UCUCCGUUGGUGAACCAGCGGAGGGAUCAUUACCGAGUUAUCAACUCCCAAACCCCUGUGAACAUACCCAACGUUGCUUCGGCGGGACCGCCCCGGCGCCCUCGGCGUCCCGGAACCAGGCGCCCGCCGGAGGACCCAAACUCUUGUUUAAACCAUAGUGGCAUAUUCUGAGUCUCUCAAGAGAAAUGAAUCAAAACUUUCAACAACGGAUCUCUUGGCUCUG